GUGGAUUAGAUACCCUGGUAGUCCACGCCGUAAACGAUGGGUACUAGGUGUUGCGGGUAUUGACCCCUGCAGUGCCGAAGCUAACGCAUUAAGUACCCCGCCUGGGGAGUACGGUCGCAAGACUAAAACUCAAAGGAAUUGACGGGGGCCCGCACAAGCGGUGGAGCAUGUGGUUUAAUUCGACGCAACGCGAAGAACCUUACCUGGGCUUGACAUCCCGAUCGUACCUUAUGGAAACAUAGGGGUCAGUUCGGCUGGAUCGGAGACAGGUGCUGCAUGGCUGUCGACAACU
rnacentral:rRNA from 1 species